CAAGCAUCAGUGGACGUCAAUUUCCGCCAUUUUGGCAGCACGAUUCUCACAGGUUCUUACUCCAGAUAUAUAUAGAGCUCGCAGCAUUCCUUCGCCUUGACAUUCGAUCAGAGAUCAUCAGAUCAAAAAGGUUGCGCAAAUUCGAAAAAUGCAAUUCACUACUAAGAUAAUGUAAACAUGAUUUAUACGAACUUCCCUUUUAUCUGUUCCUUUAUCCUUGAGAUACGAG
rnacentral:lncRNA from 1 species